CCUACGGGUGGCAGCAGUGAGGAAUAUUGGUCAAUGGACGAGAGUCUGAACCAGCAAAGUAGCGUGAAGGAUGACUGCCCUAUGGGUUGUAAACUUCUUUUAUAUGGGAAUAAAACAGGGUAUGCAUACACUCUUGUAUGUACCAUAUGAAUAAGGAUCGGCUAACUCCGUGCCAGCAGCCGCGGUAAUACGGAGGAUCCGAGCGUUAUCCGGAUUUAUUGGGUUUAAGGGGUGCGCAGGCGGAGGUGAAAGUCAGCGGUAAAAUUGCGGGGCUCAACCCCGUACUGCCGUUGAAACUGCAUCCCUUGAGUGCGCGAGAAGUAUGCGGAAUGCGUGGUGUAGCGGUGAAAUGCAUAGAUAUCACGAAGAACACCGAUUGCGAAGGCAGCAUACCGGCGCGCAACUGACGCUCAUGCACGAAAGCGUGGGUAUCGAACAGGAUUAGAUACCCCAGUAGUC
rnacentral:rRNA from 1 species